rnacentral:rRNA from 1 species
GUGUGUGUUCCAGGUAAAUCCGGUUCACUUUAACACUGAGGCGUGACGACGAGGCACUACGGUGCUGAAGCAACAAAUGCCCUGCUUCCAGGAAAAGCCUCUAAGCAUCAGGUAACAUCAAAUCGUACCCCAAACCGACACAGGUGGUCAGGUAGAGAAUACCAAGGCGCUUGAGAGAACUCGGGUGAAGGAACUAGGCAAAAUGGUGCCGUAACUUCGGGAGAAGGCACGCUGACACGUAGGUGAAGUGAUUUACUCAUGGAGCUGAAGUCAGUCGAAGAUACCAGCUGGCUGCAACUGUUUAUUAAAAACACAGCACUGUGCAAACACGAAAGUGGACGUAUACGGUGUGACGCCUGCCCGGUGCCGGAAGGUUAAUUGAUGGGGUCAGCGCAAGCGAAGCUCCUGAUCGAAGCCCCGGUAAACGGCGGCCGUAACUAUAACGGUCCUAAGGUAGCGAAAUUCCUUGUCGGGUAAGUUCCGACCUGCACGAAUGGCGUAAUGAUGGCCAGGCUGUCUCCACCCGAGACUCAGUGAAAUUGAACUCGCUGUGAAGAUGCAGUGUACCCGCGGCAAGACGGAAAGACCCCGUGAACCUUUACUAUAGCUUGACACUGAACAUUGAGCCUUGAUGUGUAGGAUAGGUGGGAGGCUUUGAAGUGUGGACGCCAGUCUGCAUGGAGCCGACCUUGAAAUACCACCCUUUAAUGUUUGAUGUUCUAACGUGGACCCGUUACCCGGGUUGCGGACAGUGUCUGGUGGGUAGUUUGACUGGGGCGGUCUCCUCCUAAAGAGUAACGGAGGAGCACGAAGGUUGGCUAAUCCUGGUCGGACAUCAGGAGGUUAGUGCAAUGGCAUAAGCCAGCUUGACUGCGAGCGUGACGGCGCGAGCAGGUGCGAAAGCAGGUCAUAGUGAUCCGGUGGUUCUGAAUGGAAGGGCCAUCGCUCAACGGAUAAAAGGUACUCCGGGGAUAACAGGCUGAUACCGCCCAAGAGUUCAUAUCGACGGCGGUGUUUGGCACCUCGAUGUCGGCUCAUCACAUCCUGGGGCUGAAGUAGGUCCCAAGGGUAUGGCUGUUCGCCAUUUAAAGUGGUACGCGAGCUGGGUUUAGAACGUCGUGAGACAGUUCGGUCCCUAUCUGCCGUGGGCGCUGGAGAACUGAGGGGGGCUGCUCCUAGUACGAGAGGACCGGAGUGGACGCAUCACUGGUGUUCGGGUUGUCAUGCCAAUGGCACUGCCCGGUAGCUAAAUGCGGAAGAGAUAAGUGCUGAAAGCAUCUAAGCACGAAACUUGCCCCGA